rnacentral:lncRNA from 1 species
CCGCACUGAAUGGAUCAUCAAACAAGUAAAUAUCAACAUCUUGGUACAAGGCACGAGCAAUUUGAAUUCUUUGCUUCUGUCCACCACUUAAAUUGAUUCCUCUUUCUCCUAUUACCGUCUGGUCACCAAAUGAAAGAAUUUCAAGGUCCUUUUCUAGACAACAUGCUUCAAGAACUCUUUUGUACCUUUCUCUGUCCAUCUCUUUGGAAAAGAGUAUGUUGUCCUCGAUCUUUCCACUCUGUAUCCAUGGUGAUUGAGCUACAUAGGCCUUACUACCACACACUCUCAGGUUCCCUGAUGUUUUAGGUACUUCUCCCAG